CAUCUACUGUGCUAUGCCUCUACAUCUACUCGGCGUAUUCCUCUAUAUCUAUUGUGUAUCCCUCUACAUCUACUGUAUGUUCUCUACAUCUACUAUGUGUGCUCUAUCAUCUAACUGCGUGUCCCUCUACAUCUACUGCGUAUCCUCUAUAUCUACUUGUGUAUCCACCUACAU
rnacentral:lncRNA from 14 species